UACGGAGGGGGCUAGCGUUGUUCGGAAUUACUGGGCGUAAAGCGUACGUAGGCGGUGACUCAAGUCAGAGGUGAAAGCCCGGAGCUCAACUCCGGAAUAGCCUUUGAAACUAGGUCGCUUGAACGUCGGAGAGGUGAGUGGAAUUCCGAGUGUAGAGGUGAAAUUCGUAGAUAUUCGGAAGAACACCAGUGGCGAAGGCGACUUACUGGACGACUGUUGACGCUGAGGUGCGAAAGCGUGGGGAGCAAACAGG
rnacentral:rRNA from 1 species